CCCGGCAUUUCUCGUGUGAGGAAAAAUAGAAAUACAAAAACAAAAGUCGAAAGAAUUCAAAUGCCAACUUUAUUUCAAUCAAUAUGCAUAUAUGCUUAGCUACAAUGUAAAACAUUCCCAAUUAGGAAAAUUAGGAUGUUACACACGGGAAAGCUCCCAACAAGCAAAAGAGGAAAGGAAAAUCUUUUAGGGUUUUCUCAAAAGGAC
rnacentral:lncRNA from 1 species